CCUACGGGAGGCAGCAGUGGGGAAUAUUGGACAAUGGGCGAAAGCCUGAUCCAGCAAUGCCGCGUGAGUGAUGAAGGCCUUAGGGUUGUAAAGCUCUUUUACCAGGGAUGAUAAUGACAGUACCUGGAGAAUAAGCUCCGGCUAACUCCGUGCCAGCAGCCGCGGUAAUACGGAGGGAGCUAGCGUUGUUCGGAAUUACUGGGCGUAAAGCGUACGUAGGCGGUUAUUCAAGUCAGAGGUGAAAGCCUGGAGCUCAACUCCAGAACUGCCUUUGAAACUAGAUAGCUAGAAUCUUGGAGAGGUGAGUGGAAUUCCGAGUGUAGAGGUGAAAUUCGUAGAUAUUCGGAAGAACACCAGUGGCGAAGGCGACUCACUGGACAAGUAUUGACGCUGAGGUACGAAAGCGUGGGGAGCAAACAGGAUUAGAUACCCUGGUAGUCCACGCCGUAAACGAUAGAUAACUAGCUGUUCGGGCUCUACGAGCUUGAGUGGCGCAGCUACGACAUUAAGUUAGUCCGUCCGUCGGGUAGGUACGGUCGGCGAGAAGUUAAACGUUAAAGGUAAAGUUAGUUACGGUACGUUGAGACGUUGCCGACGGACGACGACGAGGGAGGUUAGG
rnacentral:rRNA from 1 species